GGCUCAGGACGAACGCUGGCGGCGGGCUUAACACAUGCAAGUCGAACGCGACUCUUCGGAGUUGCGUGGCGGACGGGUGAGUAACACGUAGGUUACCUGCCCUUUGGUGGGGGAUAACCCAGGGAAACUUGGGAUAAUACCGCAUAUGGCCUAUGGGUCAAAGACUUCGGUCGCCAAAGGAUGGGCCUGCAUCCCAUUAUUUAAUCCUAGUUGGUGGGGUAACGGCCUACCAAGGGUACGAUGGGUAGCUGGUCUGAGAGGAUGAUCA
rnacentral:rRNA from 1 species